GAAAAAAAGAAGCCGUGAUCUCGGUGUGACAGCUCAGAGCUGUCCACGUCAACACACCGAGCGAGCACGGCGGCAGCGAUGGACUCCGCGUCUCUGGAACCUUCCCUCUACACAGUGAAAGCUGUUUUCAUUCUUGACAAUGAUGGCAACAGACUUCUGUCAAAGUACUAUGACCCUGAGCUUUACCCCUCCAUGAAGGAGCAGAAGAACUUUGAGAGGAACGUUUUCAACAAGACACACAAAGCAGACAAUGAAAUAGCUUUCCUGGAGGGGAUGACUAUUGUCUAUAAAGGCAAUAUAGAUCUCUUCUUCUAUGUGGUGGGGAGUGCUCAGGAGAAUGAGCUGAUGCUGAUGUCAGUACUGAACUGCCUAUUUGACUCCCUCAGUCAGAUCCUCAGGAAAAAUGUGGAGCGGAGGUGUUUACUGGAUAACAUGGAAGGAGUGUUCCUGGUUGUGGAUGAAAUCAUUGAUGGAGGGGUGAUUCUGGAGAGUGACCCCCAGCAGGUCCUACAGAAGGUCAGCUACAGGCUAAUGUCAGAACCAGCCUAUGGCUUCGUCCUGUUUGAUUACAUCACUGGUAACCUAGAGGGACAGACAGACAAGGGCCAGCUGCUGUAGACAGACAGACAGACAGAGGGCAGAUGAGAACCCAUUAUCUGAACAAAGCGUGGCCCAGGUUCUGCAGUCGGCCAAGGACCAGAUCAAAUGGUCCAUACUGAAAUGACGCCGACCAGACAAAUUUAGGAUUCUCAAGAACAGCUCUAGAGAAUAUUUCUAGUCCCAAAGCUAUUUUUAUAGUAACAGACUAAAAGGAAGCCUGUAGGCUGCUUUAUAUAGAAAUUAACCAGUCAGAAAUGGGGUUUUGUUUCUCUGUGCAUUGGAAUUUUGUUACAUUGUGUGUCAGUGUAAUUAAUUUAGUUGGUUUGCGAGUGAUGUUAGCCUAUGCUCAUAUAGGCCAAAUAACACCAGGCGCUCUAUUCAAAAGUAAAUACUGAAGAGUCCAUCCGGGCUUCUGUAUAAAACUGGGCAGUUAUCAAAUGCUAAAUGAAUCAGUGGAAAUACUGGGCGGCCUUAGUAGUGAUCAGUUUUUUAUUUCUUCUGCUUUGGUGGAACAAGGCUGCAUCCUGUAAACUGUUACUAUUUGUGAGUCAGUAUUUAACCUAAACAUUAAAAUCCACAAGGAUAAUCUGGGAAAUAAGAAUCAACACACCACAAGAGUGCUGUUCAAUUCACACACUCUGACAUCAUUUGUGCACUAAACUGCUCAGUUGAAUAAAGUCUGUGUUGUUCUGACUGUGUGUAAUCUCCUUAAACAUUAAUGUGUUUUGUAAAGAUUAUUUAAAGACUGUAAAUGAAUGUAAUGAUACUUUAUGACGCUAAACAAAUAUUACCAGUAUGUUACUGUUGCACUGUUAGGACUUUUAUUAAAACUCUUGUUUUUCCUUAAAAUGGAAUUCCCUCAUGAAGGUAAAUUAAUAUCUGUACAUAUAAUUGAUUUUAUAAUCAAAGGAACCUUAAAGAAUAUAAAAUGGCGUGCAGGAUUUUGUGGCCAGAAUUAUAAAGAAUGUCUAUUUUAUUGGUAUGUAAUGAGUUAAAGGUUUCAAUAGAUAUUAAAUAUUUUAGUUUAAAAAAAAGAAAAAAGCCAAAGACAAACUAAUGAUUUUGUUUAUUUUGGAUAGUAUUGAAACAAGCUGUCAUGCUGUCUGUCCACUAUUUGUGUGACUGAUAAUAAAACUGU